AUACGUAGGGUGCAAGCGUUAAUCGGAAUUACUGGGCGUAAAGCGUGCGCAGGCGGCUUUGUAAGACGGAUGUGAAAGCCCCGGGCUCAACCUGGGAAGUGCAUUCGUGACUGCAAGGCUAGAGUGUGUCAGAGGGAGGUGGAAUUCCGCGUGUAGCAGUGAAAUGCGUAGAGAUGUGGAGGAACACCGAUGGCGAAGGCAGCCCCCUGGGUUGACACUGACGCUCAUGCACGAAAGCGUGGGUAGC
rnacentral:rRNA from 1 species